rnacentral:rRNA from 1 species
UACGUAGGGUGCGAGCGUUGUCCGGAAUUAUUGGGCGUAAAGAGCUUGUAGGCGGUUUGUCGCGUCUGCCGUGAAAAUCCGAGGCUCAACCUCGGACUUGCGGUGGGUACGGGCAGACUAGAGUGCGGUAGGGGAGACUGGAAUUCCUGGUGUAGCGGUGAAAUGCGCAGAUAUCAGGAGGAACACCGGUGGCGAAGGCGGGUCUCUGGGCCGUAACUGACGCUGAGGAGCGAAAGCAUGGGGAGCGAACAGG